GCAAGAACAAAGGAAGAAAAGAAGAACAAAAACCCUAGAGUGAAAAUUCAAGAGAAAAUUGGUGGAUUUCAAGUAAUCAAGCCAUCAAAGGUGAAAUUUAUUAACUCUAGCUUGUGAUCUCUCUUUCCUAUGCAUUAUUUUGCAUUUUCCAUGGUUGAAUCACAAGAUAUCAUGAAGGAUAGUGUGCUGAUCAAACCUAGGAGAGAGAAUUUGAUGAUGAUUUAGAUAGAUUUUUAAGAUAUAUGGAUGUUUUUAGUUGUUUAUGGUGUUAAGUGUGAGAAUUAAGCUUGAAAUUCACAUAUUCCUCAUGAGUUCAUCAUUGGCUGAAUCUUCCUUGUGGAGUGUUGAUGGUGGAUUUGAUUUUAUUUCAAGUGAAUUGGUUAGGAAAUGAUGAAUUAUGGUGAGAAAAUCAAGUAGGAAAAAUCAUAGUGUUGAUGCACUCACCAUGGCCGAAAUUCUCAAGAAGAAAUGUGAGGAUGGUUUUGCUAAAUUUUAUGUUAUUUGACUUGUGUUUGGUGAUUUGAAGUAUUGGGAGAGAAAUGGAAUUAUUGGGAGUUGAAUUGGACGUAUUGGCCAAUUAAUCGGGUGAUAGAUCGAGUUAGGUCAACACCGCAUGUAGACGAUAAUCUGAACAAUUCGCAUUCCAUAUCAUGCAUUCAUAUAGAGUUUAGAUUAGUUUUAUAACAGUUUAGCACCAAUGUGGUAAAUUGCUUGAUUUUGCAUUAUGUCUAGGUGGUGAAUCCUCCGAAAAAGGGUAAAGAAAUUGCACCCGAGGAUCAAUAGUCGGAGUACUCCAAAAUUCAAACACCUGAUACAGUGAGUAACCUUAUCAUCAUCUUGAUUAUUUGAAGUGAAUUUUAAUUCGUUUUUGUGAUUUUAUGGAAAAUGAGUUUAAAUGGUAAAUCUUUCUGUUUUAAAAGCAAAAUGUGAUUAAAUGAAAUGAUUUUAUAAAAUUGUCUUGAAAUUGAAUGAUGGUUUUGGAAAAUGGAGUAAUUGGAGACUAAUUGAUGUGUUGUAAAUUAUGGUUUGAAUUGAAUGGCUUAUAAUAAUGUGGGCAUGAGUGGCUGGAUUUGGUAAAUGUGCUAAAAAUGUAUGAACUGUUGAUUUGCCUUGAGAGGCUGUUAAAUAAAAUAAUUGCCAUGUCAUCUUGUUGAAUUUUAUUGAAUUAGUGGGUUAUAAAUUGGUCGCUGCAGUGGACGGGUUCCGUGGACCAGCCUAUUAGAGGGCACAGUAACCUUAUUAUAUUCUUACCUCAGUAUGAGAGGCACGGAUGGAUAACUCUUGAGGUUAACACUUUAUAGUUCACUUCACGCUAAACCACCACGUGAGGGUGAACUCAGCCAAUGCCAAGGAACGACUAUGCUUUCAAACUAAAAACAUGAUUUAUGUGUACAUGACUUUUUAGCAGCCUUGGCGGACACGGUUGGGAUAGCCCUCGACCAAGGUAUCCCUAAAAACUGAGUAUGAUAAUGAUUUUGGCAUGAGCCAAACUUUUCAGGAAAUCAUAAGCCUCGUUGUUUAUUUAGGUGAAAUGAAUCUAUUUUAUCUUAUUAAAAUGAGUUCGAAAUGCUGUGAAUCAUUUUUAUGCUAAUCUAUCUUAUCUGUCUCCAUUUACUCACCUUUAGAUAUUUUAGAUGAUAUUUGUUUACUCACUUGGAUUAUAUAAUCUCACUACCCUCCUUUCCACCCAUUUCAGGCUCAGGAUAGUCGGUAGAUAGCUCACUUUGUUAAGGGCUACAGUUGGACUUGCAUCCUCAAAAACUGUAGGUUUAUCGCUUUUGAUACUUUUGGUUGUUCG
rnacentral:lncRNA from 1 species